UACACUCCUACGGGAGGCAGCAGUGGGGAAUUUUGGACAAUGGGCGAAAGCCUGAUCCAGCAAUGCCGCGUGAGUGAAGAAGGCCUUCGGGUUGUAAAGCUCUUUUGUCAGGGAAGAAACGGUGAGAGCUGAUAUCUCUUGCUAAUGACGGUACCUGAAGAAUAAGCACCGGCUAACUACGUGCCAGCAGCCGCGGUAAUACGUAGGGUGCAAGCGUUAAUCGGAAUUACUGGGCGUAAAGCGUGCGCAGGCGGUUUUGUAAGUCUGAUGUGAAAUCCCCGGGCUCAACCUGGGAAUUGCAUUGGAGACUGCAAGGCUAGAAUCUGGCAGAGGGGGGUAGAAUUCCACGUGUAGCAGUGAAAUGCGUAGAUAUGUGGAGGAACACCGAUGGCGAAGGCAGCCCCCUGGGUCAAGAUUGACGCUCAUGCACGAAAGCGUGGGGAGCAAACAGGAUUAGAAACCCUUGUAGUCCC
rnacentral:rRNA from 1 species